rnacentral:rRNA from 1 species
GUCUACAGCCAUACCACCCUGAAUGUUCCUGAUCUCGGAAGCUAAGCAGGGUUGGGCCUGGUUAGUACUUGGAUGGGAGGAGACUCUAUACUUUCUAUGCUUUGCCUUAUCUGGAGAAUAUCAGUUGAUUUACAUC